rnacentral:rRNA from 1 species
UACGAAGGGGGCUAGCGUUGCUCGGAAUCACUGGGCGUAAAGGGUGCGUAGGCGGGUCUUUAAGUCAGGGGUGAAAUCCUGGAGCUCAACUCCAGAACUGCCUUUGAUACUGAGGAUCUUGAGUUCGGGAGAGGUGAGUGGAACUGCGAGUGUAGAGGUGAAAUUCGUAGAUAUUCGCAAGAACACCAGUGGCGAAGGCGGCUCACUGGCCCGAUACUGACGCUGAGGCACGAAGGCCAGGGGCAG